CAGUAGCCGCGGUAAUACGAAGGGUGCAAGCGUUAAUCGGAAUUACUGGGCGUAAAGCGUGCGUAGGCGGUGAGUUAAGUCUGCUGUGAAAUCCCCGGGCUCAACCUGGGAAUGGCAGUGGAUACUGGCUCGCUAGAGUGUGUCAGAGGAUGGUGGAAUUCCCGGUGUAGCGGUGAAAUGCGUAGAGAUCGGGAGGAACAUCAGUGGCGAAGGCGGCCAUCUGGGACAACACUGACGCUGAGGCACGAAAGCGUGGGGAGCAAACCGGAUUAGAUACCCGCGUAGUCCCUGUCUCUUAUAC
rnacentral:rRNA from 1 species